rnacentral:rRNA from 1 species
CAAAAACAUGUCCUUUUGGUUUUAUUUAAGGUCUAGCCUGCCCAAUGAUUAUAUUGAAUGGCCGCGGUAUUUUAACUGUGCUAAGGUAGCAUAAUCAUUUGUCUUUUAAUUGAAGGCUGGUAUGAAUGGUUGGACGAGGCAUAAUCUUUCUUUAUCUUAAUUUAUGAAUUUAAUUUCUUAGUCAAAAAGCUAAGAUUUAUUUAUUGGACGAGAAGACCCUAUAGAUCUUUAUAUUUUUUUUGAUUUAGUAAUUUGGGUAAUUUUUUAUUUUAAUCAGAAUAGUUAUUUGGUUGGGGUGACUUUAGAAUUUUAAUAACUUCUAUUUAUGUUUUUCAUUUAUAUAUGUUUUUUUGAUCCAUUAGUAGUGAUUAUAAGAUUAAGUUACCUUAGGGAUAACAGCGUAAUUCCUUUGGAGAGUUCCUAUCGAUGAAGGAGUUUGCGACCUCGAUGUUGGAUUAAAAUAAGUGAUGGAUGCAGUAGUUCAUUAACUAGGUCUGUUCGACCUUUUAUUUUUUACAUGAUCUGAGUUC